GACGGAGGGGCAAGCGUUGUCCGGACUCACUGGGCGUAAAGAGCUCGUAGGUGGUUGUUCGCGUUGUUCGUGAAAACUCACAGCUCAACUGUGGGCGUGCGGGCGAUACGGGCAGGCUAGAGUUCGGUAGGGGAGACGUGGAAUUCUGGUGUAGCGGUGAAAUGCGCAGAUAUCAGGAGGAACACCGGUGGCGAAGGCGGGUCACUGGGUCUUUUCUGACGCUGAGGGACGAAAGCUAGGGGAGCGAACGGG
rnacentral:rRNA from 1 species